rnacentral:rRNA from 1 species
CCUACGGGCCGCACCAGUAGGGAAUCUUCGGCAAUGGACGAAAGUCUGACCGAGCAACGCCGCGUGAGUGAAGAAGGUUUUCGGAUCGUAAAACUCUGUUGUUAGAGAAGAACAAGUAGGAGAGUAACUGCUCUUACCUUGACGGUAUCUAACCAGAAAGCCACGGCUAACUACGUGCCAGCAGCCGCGGUAAUACGUAGGCGGCAAGCGUUGUCCGGAUUUAUUGGGCGUAAAGCGAGCGCGAGCGGUCUUUUAAGCCUGAUGUGAAAGCCCUCGGCUCAACCGAGGAAGGUCAUUGGAAACUGGAGGACUUGAGUGCAGAAGAGGAGAGUGGAAUUCCAUGUGUAGCGGUGAAAUGCGUAGAUAUAUGGAGGAACACCAGUGGCGAAGGCGACUCUCUGGUCUGUAACUGACGCUGAGGCUCGAAAGCGUGGGGAGCAAACAGGAUUAGAUACCCGAGUAGUC